ensembl:lncRNA
GGAGCGCGCCCGGCAGCGGCACCGGGACCGCCGGAGCGCGCCCGGCACCGGGACCGCCCGGGUGGGUGCGGCUCCCCAGGGAAGAGGGCGGCGAUGCCCCUCGGGACGCCGCGGGCUGCAGCGGGUGCAGGGAGAUGCCGUAGGGACGCUGCGGCUGUGGAGCAGCCUCCGUGCCCCCCCGGGUGUCCGCAGGGACCCGGCGCUGCCGUGUCCCGGUGAGUCCCGUGCCGUCCCGCCGGGAGCAGCGAGCGCAGCGCCUGGGCCGGUCCGCUGCGGCCCCGCCGCGGGACGUGCAGCGCUCGGAGCUGUCCCAAAGGCGGGGGCACACGCCGCUGGUUGCGCUGCUCCGCUUGGCAGCUCCCCGUGUCCGAAGCUAUUGCUCUAGCCACAGCAGAACGGCCGCGCUGGUACAGCUUCCGAACGGGGACGCUGUUGGCAGGAGGUCUGGAAAACAAAAUAAGGCUCUUUGCAUCUCCAGAGCUGCUGCCCUGGCGUGCUGCUCCCUCGGCAUCCUCGCGGGAAAUUUAAGGACAGUGUCUUCGGUAGGACCCUCCAAACAAAAACAUUUUCCCGUGUGAAUAACACACAAGGGAUGGCCAUGGAUUUGUGACCCCAGCAAAAGGCACCAGCUUGGAUCUGGCCUGCAAUAGCGCGAGUCGUCUGCCAACUGGGAUGUACUGGAGCUGCUCCUCUGUGGUCUGAAACGGUGAAUCAUCCCUCAUUUUGGCAUCUCUCAGGGUUUUCCAAAAAACUGGAAAAGGUGCCUCAGUGACUAAGGACUUUCAAUUGCUCGAUGCCCUGGUGGGAAGGAGUGGGGGCUGGCUCAGCUCCUCUCCAGUCCUGGCUCAAUCUGCCCAGUCCUACCGUGUUCCACUCGCUGGACUCACAGCACCAAACUGCUCCUGGCUCCUCUGUUUCCUCUCAAAGCAGCUUACAUUUUUAUUCAGGAUAGUUAUUUUUUUCCUGAUUGUCCUUUAGGAGCAAGUUUAUGAUGAAUCAGAAGAAACCACUUUUAAAAUGCAUUACAUAUAGGUUGCACCAGUUUAAUUAGGGCAAGUUUAAAUGUCUCCUGAAAUUAAGCCAGUGCAUAUUUCUUCAAAAAAGAAGCAAGUGAAAAUACUGGAGGUCCAAAGGUGUGGUAGGAUGUAUGAGCAGGAGAUGGUGCAGUGUGUGAAAGUACAGCAGUGUUUGUGGAAAGCAGCAUUAAACGUACAGAAUAGAUCUAUACAUCAAAAAUUUGCUUAGAAAAUAAGCAUUGCUUUUGUGGAGUGAUACAGCUAAAUUAAAUUUAGAUUUUUAACAAAUGCUUCUACCUGAAAGUUUAAUUAAAACAUAGUAGAUAUUAAGAUCCAAUUUGCUAUUGUGCAAAUAUAAAGAAUAAUUAUUUGGGUUGGAAAAAAUAGAAAUCUACCCAAUAUUACUUUUUUUUGAGUCACAGAGUUUAUUGAUUUUAUCAGAGAACAUUCCAUGCUCACUUAGUCCUAAGUCCUCACUUAGUUGCUCCUGAACUUCAUUUGCAUACAACCAUCUCCACAAUUUUCGUAAGAGAAUGGAAAGCUAGACAUAUGAUUCUGCACCUAGUCCUGACUAUGAAACAAAUUUUAGUGCCCAUUUUUCUAAUACUGUGACAUUAAACUGGGUUUAAUUAAACUGGUUUCCCUAAAAACCACCCUGGAGGAAACUGAAUUGCUUUGUAACUUUAGAAAUAAAAGUUACCUUCCCACUGGAUGGAGAAAAUGG